AUUGAACGCUGGCGGCAGGCCUAACACAUGCAGGUCGAGCGGAUGAAGGGAGCUUGCUCCUGGAUUCAGCGGCGGACGGGUGAGUAAUGCCCGGAAUCUGCCUGGUAGUGGGGGAUAACGUUCGGAAACGGGCGCUAAUACCGCAUACGUCCUGAGGGAGGAAGUGGGGGAUUUUCGGACCUCACGCUAUCAGGUUAGCCUAGGUCGGAUUAGCUAGUUGGUGGGGUAAAGGCCUACCAAGGCGACGAUCCGUAACUGGUCUGAGAGGAUGAUCAGUCACACUGGAACUGAGACACGGUCCAGACUCCUACGGGAGGCAGCAGUGGGGAAUAUUGGACAAUGGGCGAAAGCCUGAUCCAGCCAUGCCGCGUGUGUGAAGAAGGUCUUCGGAUUGUAAAGCACUUUAAGUUGGGAGGAAGGGCAGUAAGUUAAUACCUUGCUGUUUUGACGUUACCAACAGAAUAAGCACCGGCUAACUUCGU
rnacentral:rRNA from 1 species